CGGAGGAAAAGAAACUAACAAGGAUUCCCCUAGUAACGGCGAGUGAAGAGGGAAGAGCCCAAGAUUGAAAGCUGGCGUCUUCGACGUCCGCAUUGUAAUUUCAAGAAGUGUUUUCCGCUUCGGACCAUGCCUAAGUCCCUUGGAAAAGGGCAUCACAGAGGGUGAUAAUCCCGUACAUGGCAUGGAGCGCCCGAAGCUUUGUGAUACACUUUCUAAGAGUCGAGUUGUUUGGGAAUGCAGCUCAAAAUGGGUGGUAAAUGCCAUCUAAGGCUAAAUAUUGGGGAGAGACCGAUAGCGAACAAGUACAGUGAUGGAAAGAUGAAAAGAACUUUGAAAAGAGAGUUAAACAGUACGUGAAAUUGCCAAAAGGGAAGGGUAGGAGGUCAGAGAUGCAGCUUAGGAUUCAGCCUUGCUUUUGCUUGGUGUUUUUCCUAAAUUGCAGGCCAACGUCGGUUUUGGGCACUGGAGAAGGGUGGAAGGAAUGUGGCACCUCUCGGGGUGUGUUAUAGCCUUCCACUGGAUACAGCGACCGAGACCGAGGACAGCAGCGUACUCGCGAGAGCGGGCCUUCGGGCACCUUUACGCUUAGGGCAUUGGCAUAAUGGCCCUCUACCACCCGUCUUGAAACACGGACCAAGGAGUCU
rnacentral:rRNA from 1 species